rnacentral:rRNA from 1 species
AUACGGAGGAUCCGAGCGUUAUCCGGAUUUAUUGGGUUUAAAGGGUGCGCAGGCGGGAGAUUAAGUCGGCGGUGAAAUUUUGCCGCUCCAAUGUAAAAAAGCCCUCGCAAAUGGUUUUCUUUAGUGUAGAUGGAGGAGGCGGAAUUUGUGGGGUAGCGGUGAAAUGCAUAGAUAUCACGAGGAACUCCGAUUGCGCAGGCAGCUUACUAAACUACUACUGACGCUCAGGCACGAAGGCGUGGGGAUCAAACAGGAUUAGAUACCCUGGUAGUCCACGCAGUAAACGAUGAUUACUAGCUGUUUGCGAUACAAUGUAAGCGGCUGAGCGAAAGCGUUAAGUAAUCCACCUGGGGAGUACGUUCGCAAGAAUGAAACUCAAAUGAAUUGGCGGGG